rnacentral:lncRNA from 1 species
UUUUUUUUUUUUUUUUUUUUUUUUUUUUGUCUGUUUGUUUCUGGCAUUGUAUUUCACUUGUUUUUAUAGUUUCUAUCUCUGUUAACUUCCCUGUUUGUGAAUAUUGUUAUCUUUUUAUUAACAUAAACAUGUUAUUAAUCAUAGCUUUUGUUUUGCUUUCUUGGAGACAGCCUCACUUAAUCCAAGCUUCCCUUGAAUUGGAAAUCUCCAUGUAGCUAGGGAUGACCUUGGAUUUCUAGUUGGGUUCCUCUGAGUGCUGGGAUUACAGGCACGUGCCACCACACCUAAUUUACUGAGCGCUGAAGGUCAAAUCCAGCGCUUCAAGAUGCUAAGCAAAUGAACUUCUAGCUUUUGUUUUCACAUCUUAAAAAGCUUUGAUGAGUUUUUCAUUUCCAUCAGAGUCGUGAACUGCCUGGAAUUUCAGCUGGGUUGAGCACUAUAGGCUUCAGGUUUCUUCAGCAGUGGACUGAAGAUGAUAGGUUACUCAGACUGAUUGAUUAUAGGUUAUUUCCCUGGUGUUUUCUACUUUGCCCUCAGCUUUCAGCUACUUGAACACCAGUAUGCCACAGAGGGGCCUGCCUUACCUGAAGCCAUUGACUGUUGUUUUGUGGUAGGGCUCGCCUUCUUGGUGAGGGUAAGUGAGGGUCUUGAAUCUUCUGAUCCAGUCAGUAUUGACUGCUUAGUAUUAAGCAGGCAUCUGUGAGGGGAGGGCUUUCCUAGUGUCUCUGUUGCUUUCUAUAGCUGCCAAUUUUUUUCUUUUAGUUGGUAAGUCUAGCAGAAGAUACUUUCUUGUCUUUUGUGGAAAAAGAGAGAAGUAAUGGAUCUUUUAUAGUAUUAUAAAUAGUGACCUACCCUGAGCUCUGGACAGUCCCUGUGAAUCUUCCAGUUUUGCUUUCCUGUCCCCCAUGAAGAGUUUUUGCAUGGCUCUUAAUGCAGACAUGAUUGCUAAACUUCUGUUACUUAAGGCUUUUGCUUUCUGUGAGAGAGACUAGUGUAUUGGCAGUCAGCCCCUUGACUCUAGCUUUUCUUGUGAGUACUCGGCAGGUGCUCUUGGAAGGGACCUUCCUUGCCUGUGAGUAUGAAAGCUUGUGUCUAGUAGGAGCAAUGCAGAAUUCCAAAUUACACACUUCCUUUCUACAUUUGGCCUUCAGUUUAAAUUUUCGCAAAUUUUUCUUACCCUUAUAUAUGCAACUACCAUUUCCUUCCAUGCUUUGCCAAGAAUGAAACAGUCCCAGUCUACAUCAGGGCUUGUACUCCAAAUUGACCUCAAACUUUGAAAGAUGACUUUGACCAUCUGGUUCUCUUCCCUCCACUUAGCCAGUGCUGGAUUCUAGGCCUGUGCCACUAUGCCUGGUUUGAUUAGGUGCUGGGAAUCUAAUCCAGGGCUUCCUGUAUACAAGGCAAACACUCUGCAUCCCCAGCAUUAUGUAAUCUUUUCACGUUGGAACUGUCGUACUUUAUGUAUCGGAAAGAGAUCCAAAACUGUAUGUCUGUAUUUUGAUACAAAAUUUUUUUCUCUGAAAUUCGUAAUUACUCUUAACUGGGGAAAGUAUAGAGUCAGCUUACUGGAGCCUACUUCUCUGCCCUGUGUUGAAAAUACUGAAGCUGUUCUAUAAAAUACAACUUGAAAUACUUGGCCUAGUUUACUCUUGAUGUGUUGUAUCAAGAUGUAUAGAGACAGAAGCACAGACAGGAGUGGUGUGCAUGGCUGUAAUUGCAAUGCUGGAGAAGUGAAAGGAGGUGGAGCAAGAGUGCCCAGCUACGUGAGACCCUGUCUUUAACAGAAGAUAAACUAAGUCUUAAGCAGGUGUGUGAUGCAGGCUUGGUUGUCUCCCCACUCUUUAACACAGGUGCUUAUGGAGACACUGGGUGCUCUGGGGGCACAGUGCCGAUGGGCUGCCUGCAACAUCUACUCCACCCUCAAUGAAGUGGCUGCUGCUCUCGCAGAAAGUGGUAAGAGUUGGGCUCUGUUCUGUCUUUAUCUUAGAUAAGUCUUCAAGAAGUUCCAGUGUUUCAACGCAAAUCUUUAAGGAAGAUUGGCUGUAAGGCAGCUGCCUUUGAAGCAAUGGAUCCUGUUGAUUUGUUCUCUUGGAGGACUUCUUUACUCAAACAUGAUUUAGUUAACUGGUCUUUACAGUUGGCAAAUAGCUGCCCGUGUCUCAUGUUCUAGUCACACUGCUUCCAUUCACAAAGAGACCACCAGUGAACACUACUCACCACUCACGGUAAUAUGGAACACCGGAGCCAUAGUUUGUGCAGGGUUUUCCAGUUCCUGCAGGUUUUCCAGUAAAUGGCUUGCCCUGCUUUAAUGUUUAGUUUGUCUGCUUCAGCAGUAAAAAAGACUUGGCCUGGCAGAUUAAUUGAUUAAAGUGUCCACUAAUGCUUGAAGG